rnacentral:rRNA from 1 species
CUACGUGCCAGCAGCCGCGGUAAUACGUAGGGUGCGAGCGUUAAUCGGAAUUACUGGGCGUAAAGCGAGCGCAGACGGUUACUUAAGCAGGAUGUGAAAUCCCCGGGCUCAACCUGGGAACUGCGUUCUGAACUGGGUGACUAGAGUGUGUCAGAGGGAGGUAGAAUUCCACGUGUAGCAGUGAAAUGCGUAGAAAUGUGGAGGAAUACCGAUGGCGAAGGCAGCCUCCUGGGAUAACACUGACGUUCAUGCUCGAAAGCGUGGGUAGCAAACAGGAUUAGAUACCCUGGUAGUCCACGCCCUAAACGAUGUCAAUUAGCUGUUGGGCAACUUGAUUGCUUAGUAGCGUAGCUAACGCGUGAAAUUGACCGCCUGGGGAGUACGGUCGCAAGAUUAAAACUCAAAGGAAUUGACGGGGGCCCGCACAAGCGGCGGAGCAUGCGGAUUAAUUCGAUGCAACGCGAAGAACCUUACCAAGGCUUGACAUGC